CGGCCAUAUCACAUUGAAACGCCAGUUCUCAGACAAUCACUGAAGUUAAACAACAUUGAGGCUGGUCAGUACCUAGAUGGGUGACUGUUUGGGAAUACCAGGUGUUGUAA